GCUUUUUGAUCCUUCGAUGUCGGCUCUUCCUAUCAUUGCGAAGCAGAAUUCGCAAAGUGUUGGAUUGUUCACCCACUAACAGGGAACGUGAGCUGGGUUUAGACCGUCGUGAGACAGGUUAGUUUUACCCUACUAACCAAUUUCGGUGCCAGUAGUAAAUCUUAGUACGAGAGGAACAGCUUUGCCAUGCAUUUAGUUGCAGGUCCGUUUGAAAUGAUGUGGCUUUUCGCCACGCAUGUAGAUGUAUAACUGAAAGCCUCUAAGUUAUGAGUCUUACUGUGAUGCUGAGUUAGGUUCAGUCCCACUGAGUAAACAUAAAGAUUAUCUCUAUCUAGUGGUAGCCAAAAGGGAUUGGACCGUAUCAAAUAAGGAGACCACUUAUGACCCCUCUUUGAAGGGACCUACUGUCGUACCUGGGCGAGACAGGGCUUCUUGUCGACUCACUGACGCUCGUAAAGUCCCGAACCUGAUA
rnacentral:ncRNA from 1 species